CAGUCUACUGCUUGGCACUAAUCUUGUAAUUAUACUGUUAUUUUGUAUAUUACAAAAACAUAAUUGGAUUGAAAGAAUGGAGGGCUGGUAUAUUUGUGAUUAUUUAAAUUUGUAAAAUUUCUCUGGGAUGAAGACGGGCCUACCAGGAGAAAAAGUCUCCUUGUACACUGUUAAAUGACACCUAUAGAAUGUCAAGAAUGCCUUCCCUAUCCCGACUCAGACUUGCUCUGACUCCACUCUCCUACCCUCUCAAAGUACCUUGUUUGGGUUCAUUCAGUUACUGUGGUGGUAGGCACACACAUGUAUGUGUUGAGAUACUUCCUGUCUGUCUUGUCCCCAUCUCUGUCCUUAGCUCCAGGCAUAGCACCUUUCACACAGCAGGGGUGCAGUAAAAAUGAGAAUGUCCUUUUCCCUGUCUAGUGCUAUCUUGUAGAGGUGAGGGUCUUCUGGAUCCUUCUCCCUUUCUUUUUUCUUCUCUCGACUCCCUGCCUGCCUUCCUUGCUUUCUCUUUUCUUCUUCCCUUCCUCCCAUCUUCCUUCCCUCCCUCCUUUCCUUCCUACCUGAACAUGUAAAGACCUGAUUCUUAAAGCAUUUGUAUGGCUUUUGGUUGCAAGCAGUAGAAACUGUCUCACUAAUUCUGAGCAUCUCAGAUGGUAACAACAGGAUAAUAUUUGUCAAGAGUUUUGAAGGAUCUGAGCUUUUUUACCCUACUUGCAAGCUAAAAGAUUGGUCUGACACAGUUUGACACAUGUGAAACUUCUGGGUCAGAGACAAAGGACGUUUAUUAUUCAUGGUAGUACUAGUUGUCAUGAUAUCAGCAUUUUUUUGCACUAGUACUCUAAGACUUGAUUCCCACAGGGUGACACAAGGAAGGCCAACUGACACUUGUAUACACAGGGAUUGUGUUACAGGAGAGGAACCCUGAGUUUAGGGUGUCUGAGUCUUUUGUACUGGAUUGUAAGCAUGGCUGUUCUUGGCUCUGAAGAGAGACACUCAUUGCCUUCCAGGAUCAUAAGCAAACCUGCUCUUUGGUCUGGAGGAAACACUGUUUCUCCCUUCCAAAUAUAUUUGCUGUAAAAAUACCCUUGUAAUGAUAGUUUGGAGCAAAGAUCGUGUCUCUGCUUACAUGACGUAUAGAAUUGCAAGAGACCUCUACUAGGUCUCUACUAGGGGGUCUACCAGCAAUAUGCAUUGUGGAAAUUUAGAAAAGAAAUGAAAAAAAAAUCCCUGCAAUCCUGCCAUUUUAAGAUAAUGGUUAAAGUUUUGAAAUACAUACCUUUAGUGUUUUAUCUCCAUAAAUAUGGAUGUUUGUAUAUGGCAUGUAUUUCAUAAAAGUUAAUACAUUCUGACUUGAUUUUUUAGCUAACACUCUAUUAUGCCCAUUUCCCUCUCCUGGCUGCCUAGAUUCAUCUUUGCCUGAUCUUCUGGUCCUUUAGACCCUACUCUCUGCCUAGCACUUAAUUGUAUGUAUAGAAUCAGAGUUUUAGAGAUUUAAAGAGAUUUCAAGGUCAUUUGUUCCAAUCCUUUCAUUUAAGGUGUUAACUCUCAUUUAACAUUUCACUGAGACCUUCUGGAAGCCACAGCACAACUUUAAUAUAGAACUAUAAUGGUGGGAGUUUGGGGCACUGUAACAAGUGUGGAUUAGCUGAAUUGCUUGGGUGAUUCUACUCUUGAUAUUGUACCGUAAGAACACCUUUGCAUUAGGCUAACUAGGUUCUGUACUUAGAACCUCUUGACCCUCUUCAUCUUGCUCAGUCAAGCCCACAGCCGACUACUAUGGACUGAACUCCAAAACCCACUUUUGCUAAUACCUCUAAGCUCAGAACCCCUCUGGAAUCAGAUGGGUCAUUGUGGGACUAAGUGGCACAGAGCCUUGGAUGUGUUUGCCCAAACGGGUUAGUCUUCCAAUCAAACUCAAGUCUUUGUGAAUAGUGGCAAGAUAGUUCAUUCCCAGACAUGUACUUUUUUUAAAUUUAUUAAAAACUGUGGAAAAAUCUUUUCUUGAAAAGUACCCUCCAAAACGAUUACUCGAGGUAUUAAAUAUUCAUUAUUUCUAGGUUCCAUUAAAAACAGUUAAGUUAGUUAAAUAAAUUUCCCAUGAUUAAAAUAAUUCAUACAAUUAGAUUUUAGAUUAUUAAGGCGGAAUUACUAAAUAGUCUUUGAAUGGUGUCUUUUGAAAGGCACAAAGCCAUCUUAUCUUCUUUCAAAAAAUAUUAUUCUUUGUUGAAUGGUUUAAUCCUAUUAGUUCUUGGAAAAUUAUAAUGAUGUGUUGCCUUCAAACAGUAGAACAAGUUCCAACUUCUUUCACUAAGAAGAGGCUAUUGCUACUAAGGAUUAUUUUUGCUCUUGAUGUCAUUCUAUUGGCUGGACUUUAUGGAGAGGAUGUUUGAGAAGCUUGCUGAGGCUGUGGCAUUAUUCUCAUCACCAUCUCUUUAUUUCUGCCACUGCCCCCUUCCCUGUAUCUGAGAGCCAGAGAUUUGUGCAGUGAUGGCCAAUUCACUCCCAGGGCUGUGCUGGCCUUGAAUAGAACCUCUUGCCAUUUGGCAUCUUGAAGCAUAUUUUACCUCUGGUCCGAUCACUUCCCUUGCUACGUUUUGGUUUCUUAAGUUAGAUGUCAUGCUGUACUAUUGUCCAGACAGGGAGUUGUAGAGAAGGGCUUGGGGUCAAGUCCAGACCUCCUGGAAGGAGAGAACAGGGCCAGCAUUGAGGUUCCCAAAGUAAAUGGCUGUGAUUGAGAGGUCGCCUGAGGUAGUGUUGCCCAGGGGUGAGAGCUCAGUUCUCCGCUGACUGACUAGAGCAGGGUCUGUCAUAAAAGCAGCACCGCGGCCACUAGCUAUUGACUCAGAAAUCUGGCUUCUGUCCCCACCCCGUCCUACCAUAGGGCAGGAGAAGUAGCCAUGGCAUAGUGUCUUCUGGGAGCCAGAUACGGUGUCCUAGGGGCAGUGUGUAUUGUGUCAUUGUGCCAGGUGUCCCUGCCCUCACGAUUCCUCACUGUGUUCCGAGGACGCUCCUGCCUCGGUCAGGACCCUGCUCCUCUGGUGCAUUCCUUCCCACCCUUGGCCCUCUCAGCUUGAGAGUCACUUGCUGAGGGGUUUCUCUGACCGCUUGACAGGACCUUAGUCUUUCAUUGCACUUCUCACUUGAAUUCAAUACCUGCCGUGUCCGGUCUGUGUUUUAGUUUCCGGCUCCCCUGUGGGUGCAGAUGCCGGUCAGGGGGUAUGCAUCAUUCUUCAGGUCUAGACUCCUGGGGCCUGAGACAUGAUGGCACACUGUAAGCGCCCAGUGCCUGUCUGAGGACUGAGCAUCGUGGGUCGACCUCGGAUUUGGUGGACAGGAUCUGCAAGUAGAGGUCGAAGAAGCUUCCAACUGUGGAGUUGUGGGGGAGGCAGACAUAAGUGCAGUCAGCAGAGGCCGUGACUGAAAGCUACUGGGUUUUGGGGUUCAGGACACGGAAUAAAGCUAUGGUCCUUUUUUAAAAAUUUUUAUUUAUUUAUGAUAGUCACACACACACAGAGAGAGAGAGAGAGAGAGAGGGAGGGAGAGAGGCAGAGACAUAGGCAGAGGGAGAAGCAGGCUCCAUGCACCGGGAGCCCGAUGUGGGAUUCGAUCCCGGGUCUCCAGGAUCGCGCCCUGGGCCAAAGGCAGGCGCCAAACCGCUGCGCCACCCAGGGAUCCCAAGCUAUGGUCCUUUAAGGGCAUUCUUCUCAGCUUCUGCUCUGCUGUGGUUCCUGAUGGCAGGUUACACAUUCAGUUAAGGCGGCUGAACAAAUCCCCUGUUUACUGAGUUAAGUUUUCCUCUUUGUUGUUAAGUGACUGAGGUUUGGCUUUUUCAAAGUUAGCUGAAAACUCAUUUUCUACAUUUAAAGGAUGUUUUAAAAAUCCGUAUUCUUUCAGGGAUAACUGUAUCAAGAAGGAAAACUUACUUCUGAUCUGCCGUUUAUUUUAGAGAAACUUAAGAUUUUGCUUCUAUUUACCACACCACAAAAGUAUAGUAAAAGUUGAAACUGUACCUAAGCUGUAGCAGUUUUUAAAGAUUAAAACCUGUUUUCAAAUAGGAAUUUUAAUACUGAUUUGAUUACAAAGAAAUACAUUGCAUUUUGAGUGUCAUACUUUGCUCAGGUCAUGUCCUGUAGUCUUUAGACUGCUGUGUUUGGCUGCAUUAUUUGUUAUCUUUGAGGAUUAAGCAUUACUACUCUGAUAACAGAACCUUUUCCUGGAGGGUAAGAGGAGCUGUGGUCUGAGGUGAUGCCUUGGAGAAAGGGAGAGGUCCAUUUUCAUUGCUUCACUUAGAUUUACCUUGAAAAUCUAUAUAUUUUUUAAAGCUUUCUUUUCUUUUCUUUUUAAUUAUUUAUUUAUUUAUGAUAGUCACAGAGAGAGAGAGAGGCAGAGACACAGGCAGAGGGAGAAGCAGGCUCCAUGCACCGGGAGCCCGAUGUGGGACUCGAUCCCGGGUCUCCGGGAUCGCGCCCUGGGCCAAAGGCAGGCGCCCAACCGCUGCGCCAAGGGAUCCCUACCUUGAAAAUAUUAAUGAAUUAGUCCUGUUCAUUUGUUAACUCGGAAUAGCUCAUUUUCUUAAAAUAUAGAUUGUCUGCAAAUCACAAGAUCUACACUAAUAAAAGAAAAAACACAGAAGUGAUUGGAGGUCUGGACCCAGAGGACCUACCUGGCCCUCAAAUUUUCAGGAAAAAA
rnacentral:lncRNA from 1 species